AUUGAGAUGAAGCAUUACAACAACUCUCUAGAAUUGAAAACAUUUUCCCAUAUAAUUAUUCUACAUGUUUCCAGUUAUUGGUUCAACAUCAAAUCUCUUGUGGAGCUUCUUGAUUACCAUCUGCAGGUAAUAUUAAUUUUAAGCUGUGUACUUCACGGAUGAUUGUUAGUCAUUAGAAGCCAAAAAAGUAACAAUAUGAAGAGAUUGCACAUGCAGGGAUGAGUUCUCUUCCAUUCUUUUUCCAUUGGAAGUGUAAAUUUAGCUUUAAUUCUCAUUAUCAAUUUGAUGAUAAUAUGCAUUGUGACACAGCAUGCUGAUUUGAGGUACCUCAUACCAGAUAUGAAAAAUUAG
rnacentral:misc_RNA from 1 species